GACGAACGCUGGCGGCGUGCUUAACACAUGCCAGUCGAACGGAAAGGCCCUGCUUUUGUGGGGUGCUCGAGUGGCGAACGGGUGAGUAACACGUGAGUAACCUGCCCUUGACUUUGGGAUAACUUCAGGAAACUGGGGCUAAUACCGGAUAGGAGCUCCUGCUGCAUGGUGGGGGUUGGAAAGUUUCGGCGGUUGGGGAUGGACUCGCGGCUUAUCAGCUUGUUGGUGGGGUAGUGGCUUACCAAGGCUUUGACGGGUAGCCGGCCUGAGAGGGUGACCGGUCACAUUGGGACUGAGAUACGGCCCAGACUCCUACGGGAGGCAGCAGUGGGGAAUAUUGCACAAUGGGCGGAAGCCUGAUGCAGCAACGCCGCGUGCGGGAUGACGGCCUUCGGGUUGUAAACCGCUUUCGCCUGUGACGAAGCGUGAGUGGCGGUAAUGGGUAAAGAAGCACCGGCUAACUACGUG
rnacentral:rRNA from 1 species